UACGUAGGGGGCAAGCGUUGUCCGGAUUUACUGGGCGUAAAGCGCGCGUAGGCGGAACGUUAAGUUCCGGUCUGAAAGCCCCCGGCUACAACCGGGGAGGGUGGCUGGAAACUGGCGUUCUUGAGGGCGAGAGAGGAGGGUGGAAUUCCUGGUGUAGGCGGUGAAAUGCGCAGAUAUCAGGAGGAACACCGGUGGCGAAGGCGGGGUCUCUGGGCCGAUACUGACGCUGAGGAGCGAAAGCGUGGGGAGCGAACAGGA
rnacentral:rRNA from 1 species